rnacentral:lncRNA from 1 species
AAGAAUUCGCGAUGUGUAUGGAAAGGACGUCAGUGAGUUCAAAGACUCGGACGCUGAGUUGUCCCUGCCCACUUUUGUCAACUCGGUUCCCGGCAGGGUCUUGCCUAGUGUGGUUUUGGACAAGGAGGGCGCGGAGUCGUUUCUAAGCUAUGCCAAACGGUUUACAGAAACCAAGGGCAUUUUGGUAAAUACAUUCAUGGAGCUAGAGUCACAUGCUCUUGAUUCUCUUUCUGAUGGUGAAACCCCGCCUUUGUAUCCUGUGGGUCCCAUCUUGAAUCUGAUGAGUGAUGAUACCCAAUCGGGUUCAGAGCAAGCGCAACAGAAGUCGGAUAUAUUGGAGUGGCUAGAUGAUCAGCCUCCUUCGUCAGUGGUGUUCUUGUGCUUUGGGAGCAUGGGAAGCUUUGGUGAGGACCAGGUGAGGGAGAUAGCGUGGGGGCUGGAGCGGAGUGGGCUCCGGUUCUUGUGGUCUCUACGCCAGCCCCCACCAAAGGGAACCGUUGUGUCCCCUGGUGACUAUUCGAAUCCUAAGGGGGUCUUACCCGAAGGGUUCCUAUUUCGGACGGCUGCGAUGGGAAAGGUCAUAGGGUGGGCUCCGCAGGUGGCGAUCUUGGCCCACCAAGCAGUAGGAGGGUUCGUAUCCCACUGCGGGUGGAAUUCCACGCUUGAGAGCCUAUGGUUCGGGGUGCCGAUGGCCACGUGGCCGGUGUACGCGGAGCAACAAUUAAAUGCCUUUGAAUUGGUAAGGGAGUUGGGUUUGGCAGUGGCAAUUAAGAUGGAUUAUAGGAGGGACACCCAAGUGGUGGUGAGUGCGGAGGAGAUAGAGAGAGGGAUAAGGGAGGUGAUGGAGGAUGAUAGUGAUGUAAGGAAGAGGGUGAAAGAGAUGAGUGAGAAGAGCAAAAAAGCCUUGACGGAAGGUGGCUCCUCGCACUCUUCAUUGGGACAUUUUCUUGAUCAGAUUUUCCUUUGAUAUAUUAGGAAAGUCCUAGAAAAAUGAGAAAUUCCUACUGUUUUUGUUUCUGUCAUGAGUAGAUGAAUUUAAUAAAGUUCUUAAUUCUAAUAAUUUUCUCUAUAUAUAUAUGCUCCUUCUUCACCACAUGAACUGAGGUUGAUAUAUUUAUUCAAUUUCUAUUCUUCAACUUUCUACUUCAAUUUUGUGGUGCAUACCAAAAAAAGGAAAAUGUUGUUAAAUGAAUGGUAUAUGAUGUGGGAAUAUUGAGUUGUACUAAAAUAAAUAAGAUAUAAUAUUCAGCAAGUGGUGUGAGCAUCCCCGAAAAUAGAGCAGCAGUAACCUUUUCCACUUUGUUAAAUACUAGUACUGUUUUGAAUUUGAAAAAGAAAAACUCUGCGAACCAAGUGGCAAUCCAUAGAAUCUACAGGAGAAUCAACGUAAAAUGUGGUUUAUGAAAAGUCCUGUGAAGUUGUGUGUUUGGUCUACAAUUCCGAACAUGUUUUUACUCAUUAAAUUCUGACCUCAUCCUUGUUGAUGAGUCUUGUGAAGUUGUGUUGUUAAGUAUCAGACACCAAGAGCCAUGAUUUGAGGGCAUGCCGACUCUCUACUGCCAAGUCCACGACGACUUGUCAGACCAAAACCAGUUAUGAGUAAAUAACUUUAUCAAAUCUUGACUAAACGAAUGCCAGCAAAUACAUGACGUCACCUGGCAAAAAUGAAAAAGAAGUAAUCUAAGCAAUGUUAGAAACACCGUGCACAUGAUGUAUAUAAAGAUGUUUCAUGAGAUGAGUUUUUCCUAAGGGAUUCUAAUUUUAAAUCAAUUGAGGCCUUUUCUAUUUUUAGAUCUCUUUCUAUAGUGGAAGUAGAUCCUGUGAAUGAAUGUCUCGCAGAAUUAUGCCUACGGAAUUGACUAGGGGUUGGUAACUGUUUUAGCUGUACUAAAAAUUUUAGAGGUUGAUUUCCAAAGUUGAUUUUGACUGUGUCAUCUCAGUAUUGUUGGAUACAAUCCAAAUUAAAUAGGCUAUGUUGAACCGAAGUGGGUUGGCUUUAAGUUGCUAGAGUCCAAUAUGAGGGAAGGGUGACUUCUGACCAUUUAAUAGAAUGGAGAAUUCUUAUGUUAGCAUUUGCUUGUCUACUCUGGAUUAGUAAAUUUUGAUCUUUAGGACUUUUAUUAAGGGCUUGGAAAUUCAUAUUGGUUCCUGUGACUUUAUAAUAAAUUCUAUAGACUAAGGCUAAAAGUUGGGAUCUAGGUAAGAUCUCAUAACUUGCAGUUUUAAUAUUUAAAGUCAAGAUUUUUAAUAUAUAGGGAUCACUAAGGCUUACUGUGAAAUCAGGGUAGCAAUCAAAGUGAACUGGACCAAUAAACAAACUGGAUUAUAUUAUUCCUAAGGUACUGUCACUAAAAUUGGUGAAUCGUGCAUCUCUUAGGCAAAGCAAAAUAGAAGCAUUAAGACCUGUUUUUGUUAGAGGUUUGACUGCUACUUGAACAAGACCAAUAUGCAAGAAAUUGUUUUCCAUCUUUCCUAUGUUUCUUAAUUGACUCAAGAUUAAGUAAUUGUCAGGUUUCAUGUUCUUUACUAAGGGCAUAAACUUGCUCAACUGUUUUAACAUGGGUUGCGCUUUUGAAGGAGGAGAGAGACCAUCUUUUCUUAUAAAUUUCUGUAGUGGGGACUUUGGGAAUAAUCCAAUCUUUCUAGUCGACUUUAUUACUAGUUUCAUACUCAGUUUGUUCUUCAUUAACUAUGUAUGGGACCUUACUAAUACUGGCUAUAGAACUGCUACUGCUGCAAGAGUUUGAUCUAAAAAGGAGACUCAUUAGGACAAGUUUACUGGCUUUUCUCUUAUGGGUAGAAAGUAAACCUAAAAUCCUAGUGUAGACUCAAGGUUAUCUGAAGACCUAGGAACUCUCUCUUUCUCUGCUCAUGCCUCACCUGGGGCUUAGUGUUUGGAGUCUAGGACUUAUUGUUUGGGUUGAAAGAGAGUUGCAAGUAAUGACAAGACCCACCCCGAAUUCCUCGGAAACCUGAAACGAAUCCUGCGGAAUUUCCGACAUUGUACCUAUGCCGGGCCCACUUACUAAAACUAUUACCUCAUUUCCCAAAUAGGAAUAGGGGCACGAGGCUUUGUGCCGAAAUUUUGACAGAGUCUCCCCUAUAAAUCGGACUUACCCCAAAUUUUCAACCUAUCAAAAAUUACAAUUUAAGAAGCCAACUGCCAGCAGGCACAAUGUAAUAACACACAAUUUACAGACAAGGCUUCCAACCUUCAAAUAAAUCAAGGCAGGACAACUAGAAAUGCAAUUAAGGAACUCAAAUCAUUUUUUGAAUAUUGUUGUAAUCAAUAUAAAAUUAACUUUCCAAUUUUCAAUCAGGCGAGGUUUAACCUCCUAACACAACUGCAAGUAUAUUUAAGGCCUCAGCCCAAAACGUACAACGAUUCACAAUGGGUUCCAAAACUGUCUUGAUCACAACCACAUUUCAACAACACCCAACUAGUCAAAUGGGAAAAUGAAAAAUCAAUCAAUCAAGCCUUGUUUUCAAACGAGUUUAAUGCCCAACGACAAGGUCGAAACCGAAAUCAUCCCAAGACCAAAAUAACUUUAGUUCAAAACUGCACUUGGGUGGGACCCUAGGCUACCUAUGUACCAUUACUAAGGGAUUAAGCCACCCGUAGUUCUUCAUCCACAGUCACAACUCCAGUAAUAUACAACCUUUUUCUUUAAAAAAAACCGACGAAUGACUUUAGACUCCUUAUUAUAUCAAAUUUAACAAGGCAACCCCUAAACACUUUAUGAUUUCCUUUCUUUUAUCAAUUCUUUCCGUACAACCAUACCCUAUUCAAGGCACAUGUUGCUAAACAACACUUCCCAAAUCUGGGACUCAGACGUUCAUACCAAUCUAGGGUAAUCACAAAGCACAACCUCACAUAUCUCAACCCGAAAACAAAUCCUCAAAUAUAUGUAUUUAAUAUGUAUAAAUAUAAUUACACCACCUCCAACCAUCAUCAUGUACCAAGGAAAACAAUCCAAUCUGGGGAUUGUUUGACUAGACUACAUGAAGGAAUCCUCAACAACCAUGUGGCUAGGGAGCGAGCCGUCCAACCGGGGGACUAACUCUCAGCCAGCAUGUACAGUCGAAUCCUCAAGACUCGUAUACCCAUGACAAGUCCUACGCGCGCAGACUACCCAAAUCAAGGAUCUACAUAUCCACAUGUCCAUAUCCAUAUAUCCAUUUCCGUGCGUCCACGUAUCCAUAUCCACUGCUUCCAAGUAUCAGUAUCCAAGGGGAUGUACACACGAUGAUGCACAUCAUGUACCGAGGAAAACAAUCCAAUUGGGGAUCGUUUGACUAGACCACAUGGAGGAUUCCUCAACAACCAUGUGGCUAGGGAACGAGCCGUCCAACCAGGAGACUAACUCUCAGCAAGCACGAACAGCCGAAUCCUCAAGACUCGUACACCUGUGAGAAGUCCUACGCGAGCAGACUACCCCCUAAAGGUCCACGAACCCCUUUCAAGGGCGUCUGAGUUCCAACCUAUUCAAGUAUCUUCCAUAUUCCAAAUAUCCAUUUCCAUUUUCAUUCCAGAAUCCAUAUCCAAGGAAGCCCAUACGUCCGAAACACGGCCCGUGUGUGUAUAGUAACGAGGGAAGGUACGUAUGAUGGUGGAGUUCGUAACCCGUAUAACAAUAUUUUAAAAAGACAUUUCCUUCCUUAAAACCCUUAUCCAGUGAGGUACCUAAAGUAGUGCUUAUAGCACUUUAAAACUGACAUUCUAAACUCAUUUCUUUCCACAACCUCACAACAACAACCCAAGUAUCCCACACAUAUUCAACAUAGAUAGCACAUUCUCAAUUAUUAUAUAAUUGAACUCAAAAUACACAAAUAUGUCAAAACCCACGUAUAUCACUAACUUUACGAAAAUAAUAAAUUCAAUUAUUAAAUAUUCAAUGAAUUUAAAUAAACCAUUAAAUUUAUAUGCAUAAUAUUUCCAUCACAAAACCAUACUGUUUAUUUGAAAACAAUGUCCAUUUACACGAGGAAAAAGAGACGUUCUAAGGUCCAACUAUCCAAUUCGGAUGAUGGGAUAGCCUCGGGGGACACUCGGUCAACCGGGCGGUCAAACUUUCCAAAACAGGUCAACGGGGCCCACGGGACCUACGACCUCUAUUUUACGAUCCAGACAUUUCUAAGGGCUCCACAAGGUCUAAGAUACACGUCCUGCAAGUUUGGCCCGAAACGGACAGUCGAAUCGCUCACGAUCAGACGGUUAUCAUAAAACACCAACUUUAAGUUAUUAAAUCGGAAAAUCCAGUACUCCGAUCCACGAUCCGUGAAUUCCUACACAAUCCUAGGAAUGCCUAGAUUAACAUAUAUUAAAUUCAAGAUGAUCCAAUGGUUCAAACCUAUCGAACCCGGAUAACGUACAAUAGGCAAAAUCCGUUCGAGACUCAAACGGUAUCCGAAUUGAAAUCCGAGCACCCCUAUGCGCUCGUGACAAUAAGGGGAUCGCAUCGGAACACAAUGCCCAUCCGCUAUAAUGCCCACGCGACGCCACAUGCGCAGGCAGCACGUAGGUGUCCAAAAAGAUACCACUCGUAGGAAAACCUCAAAAUUUCAGGCCAAUAUUCCUAUCAUAGGUUCAAGACAUCGAUUGGAGACACUUUUGCUCUUGGGCCUACCCCAAAAAGUGACCGGAAGUAGUCGGAAUUUCAUCUCAAAAUCCAGCCAAACUGAAAUUUGAAAAUUGAUCUAUCAACGCUUAAAAUUUCUGAAAUCCUACCCAACCAUCAGUUAGAUCAUGAAAAGUAGGUGAGAAAGCAUAUCUCACUCGCCGAAAUUGGUGGCUGGAUGACGGAGAACGAAGUCGGAGAAUUUCGAGUGAAAAAUCGGCCGUUUCUCUUCGAUUUUCCGGUGAAAACACGGUGGCAGGCAGCGGGGCCUGGCUGGGGUUGGAAGAGGACGGUGGCCUAAUCAUCUUGGUACCUGCCCCGUCAAUUUUGGUAGUUGGAGUAAAGAAGUGCUAGCCAAAACGUGGCAGGCUGGGCGUUGCCGUCGCGAGAGAAGAAAGAUGUUGCGGGGAAAGAGAGAGAGAGAGAGAGAGAGAGAGAGAGAGAGAGAGAGAAAAUGAGGGUUUCCAGAUUUUUAUCAAACCUUUUUCGUAAAAAUUACGGUGAUGCUACUGAGGGUAUUUUGAUCGUAUUUUUUUUGGUCACAAAUCCGAUUCAAGCUCAUUAUGUGUCUACAGACUCAACUCGUCAUGCUCUAUGCAACGGUACAGUCAAAAUUCUAAAAAUCUUCCUGAUCAAAAAGUCAACGUUAAAUCUAGUAAAAUAUUGUAGGGGCAAAAUGGUCUUUUGGCAGAAUGAGAAACUGAAUUACCAGUCAAUGAAUGCACAAUAGAAAGUAAAGGACAUAUUUCUAAUGCAUAAUAGAAAUAUCAGUCAUUAUGGCGGAAUGAGAAACUGAAUUAGACUAACUCAACAAGACUAUAGUGAUGAUGAUGUUGCAGAUGGAGGCUUUGAACAACGACAAUGAGGCCCGGCACAAGAGGCUCUCAAGUUGUUGAUCGAAUUGGCCGAAACCGAGCCCAUGUUCCUAGGCAGCAGAGAGAGAGUAGGUUGGGGAGGCGCGGGUUUGUAGGCGUUAAGUCCAAGUCGAGGCGGGUCUAUGUGGGUGGGUCAAUGAUAGAUUUCUAAGGGUUGGUUCAAGGUCGGCGAUGAGAGAGAGAGAGAGAGUGGAAGGAACAGGAAAGGAGAGAAUGGGGUUUUUUUUUUUUUUCCUAUUUUCAAUAUUUUUAAUUUUUUAAUUAAUUUUUUUUUUCACACAUCAGCCCCAAUUAAAUAUUCCUAAUUGAAUUUAUAUAUUUUUUAUAGUUCAAAAUCCCUAAUUAAAUUUAAAUAUUACAAUAAUUAUUUUUUAGUCCGACACAUCACCAAAUAUAGGUCUUCAUUAUUUUUACAAUACAGCUUCUUAGUCGACAAGACACCAAAUGUAGGUUAGUACUUAAUCCAGCUUAGGCUAAUCCAAGCUAAUUCAAGACAGCCUCAUUAUUUAAUCUAGUCCAUGACAGUUUGCCAUACCAAACGACCUCUUAGAAGUCAAUUUUUAGUCCUUACAUUUUGAGUUAUUUUUCAUUUUUCUAGGUGUAUCUCUGGCACUUUUAGUAUAUUGUAAUUAUAGUUUGCUACCUUUCUUAACCGCAGUCUGAUUUGCUAAACCCAAAUGAUUUUCAAGACUGAAACUUGAGGUGGAUUUCUCCUGUGCGAUAAUCAUAUGUUGGCACGUCAGAUUUUCGUCAUGAAAAUUAACAACAUCAACUAUUUGGAUAGAGAUUAAACACUCGGCAAACCACGUCAUAAUCGUGAGAGCCAAAAUUGUGAACAUAUAAAUUAUAAGAAGGAAAGUUGUUGGUAUAAAAAUUGUAUUAUCGACAAAAGCAGCACAUCACUUGCAUCGUUGGGAUAUCUAUCACCUCUUCAAUUCCUCUACGUAACUAUAUGAUUAAUUGCUUAAUUUAUUGCCAGGCGGCAAUCUGUUCUUUUACCAAUGAGCUUGAGGAAGCUUCUGACCAAUGCCAGCAAAGGCAUGACGUCAUCACUGUAUCUUGACCUAAGCAAAGAUUAUUAAUUCCAACAUUCAACUGUAGCAAUAUUAUAUCAAGGGCAUCGACAUGAACUUUUCAUUUCCAUCAGAAUAUCUAAAACCUCCCUUUGUUCUUCCCCAAAUGGAGAAAGCUUCAGAGCUAGUCUUCAUCCCUUCCGCCGGCAUGGGCCACCUUGUCUCCGCCGUCGAGAUGGCAACGCUCCUCGUUGCUCGACACGACCGACUUUUCAUCACCGUCUUCAUCAUGAAGCUGCCCUUCGACUCCAAAGGCACCGAGUCCUACAUAGCCUCCCUCGAGGCCUCUCCCGUGUCGCCACGUGUCAACUUCAUCACCCUCCCAAAAGUUCCUGCCAUAGACAACCACAUCAGCCCCAACUCCUUCCGCAACCAGUUCAUCGAAAGUCACAAACCCCACGUCAAAAACGCGGUCGCCAAACUCACCGAGUCUGAGUCCGAUUCAAGGCCUCGGCUCGCUGGGUUCGUCAUCGACAUGUUUUGUACAACAAUGAUCGACGUGGCGGAUGAAUUUGGGGUUCCUACUUACAUGUUCUUCACUUCACCAGCUGGGUUUCUGGGGUUGUUGUUUAACCUGCAGAGAAUUCGUGACGUGUAUAACAAGGAAGUGAGUGAGUUCAAGGACUCGGAUGCUGAGUUGGCCCUGCCCACUUUCGUCAACUCGGUUCCCGCCAAUGUCUUGCCCAGUGUGCUUCUGGACAAGGACGGCGCGAAGGCGAUCCUCGGCUAUGCCAAACGGUUUAGAGAAACCAAGGGUAUUUUGGUAAAUACAUUCAUGGAGCUGGAAUCGCACGCUCUUGAUUCUCUUUCUGAUGGUGAAACCCCACCGUUGUAUCCUGUGGGCCCCAUCUUGAACCUAAAGAGUGAUGAUAGCCAAUCGGAUUCAAAGCAGGCGCAACAGAAGUCUGAUGUAUUGGAGUGGCUAGAUGAUCAGCCUCCGUCGUCUGUGGUGUUCCUGUGCUUUGGGAGCAUGGGAAGCUUUGGUGAGGACCAGGUGAGAGAGAUAGCAUGGGGGCUUGAGCGGAGUGGGCUCCGGUUCUUGUGGUCUCUACGCCAGGCGCCACCAAAGGAGACCGUUGCGUCCCCUAGUGACUAUUCAGAUCCCAAGGCGGUGUUGCCCGAAGGGUUCCUCGAUCGGGCGGUUGGAAUUGGAAAGGUCAUAGGGUGGGCCCCGCAGGUGGCGAUCUUGGCCCACCGGGCAAUUGGCGGGUUCGUAUCUCACUGCGGGUGGAAUUCGACGCUUGAGAGUCUAUGGUUCGGGGUGCCGGUUGCCACGUGGCCAAUGUACGCUGAGCAACAAUUAAAUGCCUUUGAAUUGGUGAGGGAGUUGGGAUUGGCUGUGGAAAUCAAGAUGGAGUAUAGGAGGGACUUUUAUGGGGAGAGUCCGAAGGUUGUGAAGGCAGAAGAGAUAGAGAGAGGAAUAAGGGAGGUGAUGGUGCAGGAUAGUGAUUUAAGGAAGAGGGUGAAAGAGAUGAGUGAGAAGGGCAAGAAAGCCUUGAUGGAUGGUGGGUCGUCACACUCUUCAUUGGGACAUUUUCUCCAUCAGAUUUUUCUUUGAUAUACCGCACAUGAAAAUCAAUAAUGCCCAAUGACAAUUUCUCGCGAUAUUCAUGUAAAUGCCCCUUAAAAAUGGAGGGCCCUAGCAAUUACUCAGCUUGUACAUGGUAAAAGCCGUGGUAAGCGGAGCAUACUGCCGUCAGGGGCCGUUAAUCAUUCUGCAGUACUCUACUGAGAUAGGCAAUCGCAGUCUAACUAUACCUUUCUCAAUGCAAUGGAUGAUCCUAUGUUGCGACACCAAAUUUUUGUCAUGAAAAUUAAUAAUAUUAACAAUUUAGAAAAAAAAUUAAAAACUUGGCAAACUAAAAUUGUCAACAUCUAAAUUAUAAGAAAGAAAGUGGAAAGUACUUCAAAUUACACGAAGAAAAUAAUAGUGUUCUUGUGAAUUUUUAUUUGGAGAUUUAUUUUUCUACUUGACGAGAAAAGCAUCACAUGAGUCGCACUGUUAGGCUAGAAAUGGAAGUUUCCAAGAAUAAAUUUAGGAGACGUUUCUACAAAAUUCCACCCUUUGAUGGCAGCAAAGGCAUGACGUCACCACUUGCAUCCUUGGCCCAGAGCAUUAAUUCCAACACAACAUGGAAAUGAACUAUUUCCAUCAAAAGAUCUAAAACCUACCGCUCUUAUUCCAUUCUGACAAACAGAAAAAAAAACCUCUCUUAUUCCAUAUGGAGAAAGCUUCACACCUAGUCGUCAUCCCAUCCGGCCGCAUCGGCCAUCUCGUCUCCGCCGUCGAGAUUUCGAAGCUCCUUGUUUCCCGCCACGACCAACUUUUCAUCACCGUCCUCAUCAUGAAGCUACCCUUCGACUCCAAGGGCACAGAGGCCUACAGAGCCUCCCUCGAAGCCUCUCCCGUACUGCCACGUGUCAACUUCAUCACCCUCCCAAAAGUCCCAGACCUAGACAAGCACCUCAGCUCCCACUCCUUCCGCAACCAAUUCGUCGAAAGCCACAAAACCCACGUCAAAAACGCGGUCGCCGAACUCACCGAGUCACAGUCCGAUUCGAGGCCUCGGCUUGCUGGGUUCGUCAUCGACAUGUUUUGCACAACAAUGAUCGAUGUGGCGGAUGAUUUUGGGAUUCCUACGUACAUGUUCUUCACUUCACCUGCUGGGUUUCUCGGGCUGCUGUUUAACCUACAAAGAAUUCGCGAUGUGUAUGGCAAGGACGUCAGUGAGUUCAAAGACUCGGACACUGAGUUGUACCUGCCCACUUUUGUCAACUCGGUUCCCGGCAGAGUCUUGCCUAGUGCGGUUCUGGACAAAGAGGGCGCGGAGACGUUUCUAAGCUAUGCCAAACGGUUUACAGAAACCAAGGGCAUUUUGGUAAAUACAUUCAAGGAGCU